GACGAACGCUGGCGGCGUGCCUAAUACAUGCAAGUCGAGCGAACAGAAAAGGAGCUUGCUCCUUUGACGUUAGCGGCGGACGGGUGAGUAACACGUGGGCAACCUACCCUAUAGUUUGGGAUAACUCCGGGAAACCGGGGCUAAUACCGAAUAAUCUCUUUUGCUUCAUGGUGAAAGACUGAAAGACGGUUUCGGCUGUCGCUAUAGGAUGGGCCCGCGGCGCAUUAGCUAGUUGGUGAGGUAACGGCUCACCAAGGCGACGAUGCGUAGCCGACCUGAGAGGGUGAUCGGCCACACUGGGACUGAGACACGGCCCAGACUCCUACGGGAGGCAGCAGUAGGGAAUCUUCCACAAUGGGCGAAAGCCUGAUGGAGCAACGCCGCGUGAGUGAAGAAGGUUUUCGGAUCGUAAAGCUCUGUUGUAAGGGAAGAACAAGUACAGUAGUAACUGGCUGUACCUUGACGGUACCUUAUUAGAAAGCCACGGCUAACUACGUGCCAGCAGCCGCGGUAA
rnacentral:rRNA from 1 species